rnacentral:rRNA from 1 species
CAGGAUGAACGCUGGCGGCGUGCCUAAUACAUGCAAGUCGAACGAAUCUCUUUUAGAGAUGAGUGGCGAACGGGUGAGUAAUACAUAGGUAACCUGCCCCUGUGCGGGGGAUAACAGGAGGAAACUCCUGCUAAUACCGCAUAGCCAUGAGCACCGCAUGGAGCUCAUGCCAAAUAUCCUUUAUGGGAUAGCGCAGGGAUGGACCUAUGGCGCAUUAGCUGGUUGGCGGGGCAACGGCCCACCAAGGCAACGAUGCGUAGCCGGCCUGAGAGGGCGGACGGCCACAUUGGGACUGAGACACGGCCCAGACUCCUACGGGAGGCAGCAGUAGGGAAUUUUCGGCAAUGGGGGAAACCCUGACCGAGCAACGCCGCGUGAGCGAAGAAGGCCUUCGGGUCGUAAAGCUCUGUUGUAAAGGAAGAACGGCGCAUACAGGAAAUGGUAUGCGAGUGACGGUACUUUACCAGAAAGCCACGGCUAACUACGUGCCAGCAGCCGCGGUAAUACGUAGGUGGCGAGCGUUAUCCGGAAUCAUUGGGCGUAAAGAGGGAGCAGGCGGCCGCAAGGGUCUGUGGUGAAAGACCGAAGCUAAACUUCGGUAAGCCAUGGAAACCGGGCGGCUAGAGUGCGGAAGAGGAUCGUGGAAUUCCAUGUGUAGCGGUGAAAUGCGUAGAUAUAUGGAGGAACACCAGUGGCGAAGGCGACGGUCUGGGCCGCAACUGACGCUCAUUCCCGAAAGCGUGGGGAGCAAAUAGGAUUAGAUACCCUAGUAGUCCACGCCGUAAACGAUGGUCACUAAGUGUCGGGGGUCAAACCCCGGUGCUGCAGUCAACGCAAUAAGUGACCCGCCUGAGUAGUACGUUCGCAAGAAUGAAACUCAAAUGAAUUGACGG